AUGGUCUCAGGACAAUCGCAAAUUCGUCUCUUCCAAACUCCUGGUAGGUCACACCAGCUUCGUCGGUCCAUUGACAUGGAUUCCUCCAAAUUCCGAUUUGCCACAAGGCAGUGUGGCUUAUGGCGGCAUGGAUACUCUUGUCUUGGUUUGGGACUUGAACACGUGGGGAAAUUUCACACACUCAAAGGUCAUCAGUAUCAGGUCACCGACAUUGCGUUUGAUGAUUGGAAGGGUUUUCAAUUCCAGUUUGUUUAUAUUGAAUUUGAAUGGUUAGUUCCAUUUAUUUCAUAG